rnacentral:rRNA from 1 species
UACGUAGGGAGCAAGCGUUGUCCGGAAUCAUUGGGCGUAAAGCGCGCGUAGGUGGCCUCAUAAGUCCGCUGUGAAAGUCAAAGGCUCAACCUUUGAAAGCCGGUGGAUACUGUGAGGCUAGAGUACGGAAGAGGCGAGUGGAAUUCCUGGUGUAGCGGUGGAAUGCGCAGAUAUCAGGAGGAACACCAAUAGCGAAGGCAGAUCGCUGGGACGUUACUGACACUGAGGCGCGAAAGCGUGGGGAGCAAACAGG